CGAUAAUAAAUCGAUCACUUGGGUGUGGGAGUAGACCUAAUAAAGUAAAGAUAAGUUUGCCUUUGCCAUUUUAUAUUAGUUAAAAGUUAAAAUUUGGUAUCUCAAGUGUCGAAACUUUGCAAUGUUUAGUAGUGUAGAGAAAAUUAAAAACAAAACUGGAAAGAAUAUUGUCGGACGUUUCAAGUAUUUAAAGCUUCUGAAAGAAGAGUUUCAAAUAACGAAAAGCCAAGAAGCCAAACAUCAGACUAUUGCUAACUUAGCAAACUUUUCGUAUGAUCCAAUCAACUACGAACACAUCCGUACCUUGGGUAUAAUUGAUUUAUUUUUGGAGCAGUUAUCAGAGGAAGAUCCAACUAUUGUACAGUUUGCGCUGGGAGGAAUCUGCAAUUUAGCUCUGGAUGUUGAAAGUAAAGAACAUAUUGUCAGCAGUGGAGGUGUAACUUUGAUAAGCCAAUGUUUAUAUUCUGAUUGUUUGCAAACUGUUAUAUAUGCAGUCACUAGUCUUAUGUUCCUGAUCAGCAACAAGAGUCGAGCAGUAAUCACAAGUGACAACAUCAUUGUGAAGAUGUUAGAACUGUCUAAACAUGUGGACAAGCGAGUGCAAAACCUUGCUGAGAUAUUCCUGGAAGACUACUGCAGUGGGGAACAAAUCCAUAGAGUACGCAACAGUGUUAGUCUCAUACCAUUACCCUCUGCUUCUGAUACCCAAUCAACAACAUCUCAGCAGUGAUUUCUUGGGGAAUCAAAUACCAUGAUGCGAACAUUCGCUGUUGUGUUUCUUCAAUGUAUUGUUAUAAGUUUAGCAGAGGAGGUAAAGCCAGCUGUGUCGUCGCCUGCUGUACAAACAACACCGUUGAAUCUGACAAGUCUGCUUGC